UACGGAGGAUCCAAGCGUUAUCCGGAUUUAUUGGGUUUAAAGGGUGCGUAGGCGGCCUGUUAAGUCAGAGGUGAAAGACGGUAGCUCAACUAUCGCAGUGCCUUUGAUACUGACGGGCUUGAAUAAACUAGAGGUAGGCGGAAUGAGACAAGUAGCGGUGAAAUGCAUAGAUAUGUCUCAGAACACCGAUUGCGAAGGCAGCUUACUAUGGUUUUAUUUGAUCGCUGAGGCACGAAAGCGUGGGGAUCAAACAGG
rnacentral:rRNA from 1 species